rnacentral:piRNA from 1 species
UUGGAUGAAUUAAAUUCAAUAGGUUUAAUU